rnacentral:rRNA from 1 species
AGUGAACGCUGGCGGUAGGCCUAACACAUGCAAGUCGAACGGCAGCACAGUAAGAGCUUGCUCUUACGGGUGGCGAGUGGCGGACGGGUGAGGAAUACAUCGGAAUCUACUUUUUCGUGGGGGAUAACGUAGGGAAACUUACGCUAAUACCGCAUACGACCUACGGGUGAAAGCAGGGGAUCUUCGGACCUUGCGCGAUUGAAUGAGCCGAUGUCGGAUUAGCUAGUUGGCGGGGUAAAGGCCCACCAAGGCGACGAUCCGUAGCUGGUCUGAGAGGAUGAACAGCCAAACUGGAAAUGAGAAAAGGUCCAGAACCCUAAGGGAGGCAGCAGGGGGGAAUAUUGGACAAUGGGGGCAAGCCUGAUCCAGCCAUACCGCGUGGGUGAAGAAGGCCUUCGGGUUGUAAAGCCCUUUUGUUGGGAAAGAAAAGCAGCAGGUUAAUACCCCGCUGUUCUGACGGUACCCAAAGAAUAAGCACCGGCUAACUUCGUG